UACAGAGGUCUCAAGCGUUGUUCGGAUUCAUUGGGCGUAAAGCGUGCGCAGGCGGCUCGGAAAGGAAGAUGUGAAAUCCCAGGGCUUAACCUUGGAAUGGCAUUUUUAACUCCCGAGCUAGAGUAUGUCAGAGGGGGUAGAAUUCCACGUGUAGCAGUGAAAUGCGUAGAGAUGUGGAGGAAUACCGAUGGCGAAGGCAGCCCCCUGGGAUAAUACUGACGCUCAGGCACGAAAGCGUGGGGAUCAAACAGG
rnacentral:rRNA from 1 species